AUGCCAACUCAAGAGGAGGCAUCUGAGUAUUUCUUGAAAACCAAACAAGAGCAGCUUGGUUACUUGAUAGCAUCAACUCUGAGGAUUGAGAAAUGGUUGGCCACCCUAACUCAAAACCAGGAGAGCCUAGAGAGAAUCAUGGAACAAAAAUUCUAUGAUCUAGAUGUCAAGGUAACUAAGAUUCAGUCAGUUGUAGAGCAGCUGCAGGAUGACAUGCAGGAGAGGAAGGGCAAGACAACCACCAAUGUGUUUGCCAGAGUGCCCAGAGCCCAGAGAUCAGUUGCAGUGCCAGUGACAGACACUAGAGCAACAACUUCAGCACCAGCUACUGCCCCUACAAUUCUAGUGCAACCAGCUCCAGCAUCCACUCCA
rnacentral:rRNA from 1 species